GUUAUAGGGUCAAGCGAAUAAGUGCAUGUGGUGGAUGCCUUGGCGAUCACAGGCGAUGAAGGACGUAGUAGCUUGCGAAAAGCUGCGGGGAGCUGGCAAACGAGCUUUGAUCCGCAGAUGUCCGAAUGGGGAAACCCGGCCCGUAUGGGUCAUCCCUUGCUGAAUACAUAGGCAAGGGAGGCGAACGCAGUGAACUGAAACAUCUAAGUAGCUGCAGGAAAAGAAAUCAACCGAGAUUCCCAAAGUAGUGGCGAGCGAAAUGGGAACAGCCUUGUACUCUUUAGCAGUAUUGUUAGCGGAACGGAAUGGAAAGUCCGGCCAUAGUGGGUGAUAGCCCCGUACGCGAAAACAGUAUUGUGGAACUAGGUGUACGACAAGUAGGGCGGGACACGUGAAAUCCUGUCUGAAGAUGGGGGGACCAUCCUCCAAGGCUAAAUACUCGUGAUCGACCGAUAGUGAACCAGUACCGUGAGGGAAAGGCGAAAAGAACCCCGGGAGGGGAGUGAAAUAGAUCCUGAAACCGCAUGCAUACAAACAGUCGGAGCCUGGAAACGGGUGACGGCGUACCUUUUGUAUAAUGGGUCAGCGACUUACAUUCAGUGGCAAGCUUAACCGAUUAGGGAAGGCGUAGCGAAAGCGAGUCCGAAUAGGGCGUUCAGUCGCUGGGUGUAGACCCGAAACCAAGUGAUCUAUCCAUGGCCAGGUUGAAGGUGCGGUAACACGUACUGGAGGACCGAACCCACUAACGUUGAAAAGUUAGGGGAUGAGCUGUGGAUAGGGGUGAAAGGCUAAACAAACUUGGAAAUAGCUGGUUCUCUCCGAAAACUAUUUAGGUAGUGCCUCGUGUCUCACCUUCGGGGGUAGAGCACUGUCAUGGUUGGGGGGUCUAUUGCUGAUUACCCCGCCAUAGCAAACUCCGAAUACCGAAGAGUGCAAUCACGGGAGACAGACAUCGGGUGCUAACGUCCGGUGUCAAGAGGGAAACAACCCAGACCGCCAGCUAAGGUCCCUAAGAUUGGCUAAGUGGGAAACGAAGUGGGAAGGCUAAAACAGUCAGGAGGUUGGCUUAGAAGCAGCCACCCUUUAAAGAAAGCGUAAUAGCUCACUGAUCGAGUCGUCCUGCGCGGAAGAUGUAACGGGGCUAAGCCAGUCACCGAAGCUGCGGAUGCACGUAAGUGCAUGGUAGGAGAGCGUUCUGUAAGCCUGUGAAGGUGUCUUGUAAAGGAUGCUGGAGGUAUCAGAAGUGCGAAUGCUGACAUGAGUAGCGAUAAAGGGGGUGAAAGGCCCCCUCGCCGUAAGCCCAAGGUUUCCUACGCAACGUUCAUCGGCGUAGGGUGAGUCGGCCCCUAAGGCGAGGCAGAGAUGCGUAGCUGAUGGGAAGCAGGUUAAUAUUCCUGCACCGUCGUAUGAUGCGAUGGGGGGACGGAUCGCGGAAGGUUGUCCGGGUGUUGGAAGUCCCGGUCCCUACAUUGGAGAUGGCACUUAGGCAAAUCCGGGUGCGUGAUUCAAGGGUGUGGGGCGAGCGACGUUAGGUCGCGAAGCAAUUGGAAGUGGUUCCAAGAAAAGCCUCUAAGCUUCAGUCAUACGAGACCGUACCGCAAACCGACACAGGUGGGCGAGAUGAGUAUUCUAAGGCGCUUGAGAGAACUCGGGAGAAGGAACUCGGCAAAUUGGUACCGUAACUUCGGGAUAAGGUACGCCCUUGUAGUUUGACUGGCUCGCGCCAGAAGGAUGAAGGGGUUGCAAUAAAAUGGUGGCUGCGACUGUUUAAUAAAAACACAGCACUCUGCAAACACGAAAGUGGACGUAUAGGGUGUGACGCCUGCCCGGUGCCGGAAGAUUAAAUGAUGGGGUGCAAGCUCUUGAUUGAAGUCCCGGUAAACGGCGGCCGUAACUAUAACGGUCCUAAGGUAGCGAAAUUCCUUGUCGGGUAAGUUCCGACCUGCACGAAUGGCGUAACGAUGGCCACACUGUCUCCUCCCGAGACUCAGCGAAGUUGAAGUGUUUGUGAUGAUGCAAUCUCCCCGCGGCUAGACGGAAAGACCCCAUGAACCUUUACUGUAGCUUUGCAUUGGACUUUGAACCGAUCUGUGUAGGAUAGGUGGGAGGCUUUGAAACCGGGACGCUAGUUUCGGUGGAGCCGACCUUGAAAUACCACCCUGGUUUGUUUGAGGUUCUAACCUUGGCCCGUGAAUCCGGGUCGGGGACAGUGCAUGGUAGGCAGUUUGACUGGGGCGGUCUCCUCCCAAAGUGUAACGGAGGAGUUCGAAGGUACGCUUGGUACGGUCGGACAUCGUACCUAAAGUGCAAUGGCAAAAGCGUGCUUAACUGCGAGACCGACAAGUCGAGCAGGUGCGAAAGCAGGACAUAGUGAUCCGGUGGUUCUGUAUGGAAGGGCCAUCGCUCAACGGAUAAAAGGUACUCUGGGGAUAACAGGCUGAUACCGCCCAAGAGUUCAUAUCGACGGCGGUGUUUGGCACCUCGAUGUCGGCUCAUCUCAUCCUGGGGCUGUAGCCGGUCCCAAGGGUAUGGCUGUUCGCCAUUUAAAGAGGUACGUGAGCUGGGUUUAAAACGUCGUGAGACAGUUUGGUCCCUAUCUGCCGUGGGCGUUGGAAUCUUGACGGGGGCUGCUCCUAGUACGAGAGGACCGGAGUGGACGUACCGCUGGUGUACCUGUUGUCUCGCCAGAGGCAUCGCAGGGUAGCUAUGUACGGAAGAGAUAACCGCUGAAAGCAUCUAAGCGGGAAACUCGCCUGAAGAUGAGGAUUCCCUGGAGACUUGAUCUCCCUGAAGGGUCGUUCGAGACCAGGACGUUGAUAGGCUGGGUGUGGAAGCGCAGUAAUGCGUUCAGCUAACCAGUACUAAUUGCCCGUGCGGCUUGAUCCUAUAACC
rnacentral:rRNA from 6 species